AGCAGAAAGCAGAUAACACUAAACUGGGAAGAUCUGUCAACUCCCUUGAGGGCAGACAAAAACCUCAAUAAAUCAGAGAUGGGCAAUCACCAACCAUAUGAAGUUUAACAAAGGGACCAAGAUGGAACAGAAAGAUGCUGCAAGCUUCACUUCUCCAACAGGCGAGAAAGAAUUGGAUAAGCAGACAGGGGAGAUUUCUGUAUUCCUUGAAAAUUUUCUCAAGCAACAACAUGUUCUGUGUUCAGAGGACAUAAAAAAUUUGCAGG